GCUCCACUUAAACUUCUGGACUCGACAUGGCGGCGCGCGUUCGGCCGCUUGACCUUGGUGUCCGCUAGGGCGGGAUCUCUUCCGCGAGUUGAGAAUCAUUUGAACAAGAGAGGCGGCUGCUAAAGCACACUGAACUUGCCUCGGAUAUUCAGGAUGCUGAAACAGUCAUGCUCAUCAGAGUCCAUUUUGAGUUAAUCUGAUCAGUGUGGAAUGUCUUACAACACGGAAAUGUCCAAAGCUUCAUGAUACACUUUCUGGAAUAGUGGGAUUAUGAGACCAACCAAGGAUGACCUGAUGAAACGAUUUUAAGAAGCCCUAUAAAAUUCUGGCUCAUUACCUGGGUGAAAACCACUGCACACAUAACAAUGAACGUUAAUUGCUAAGUCCCUUGUCACCUGCUUAGAAUGCUCAUCUGCGAAAGCUCAGUUGUCACCCCCAAAAUGAGAGAACUCUGAGCCUUCCUGAGUCCGUUAGGCUUUCAAUGUGUUUUUCUUACCUAAAGGUAUCGGUUUCUGAGCAUUGCAUCACCUACAUGGCAAAAAAAUAGCUGUAUAUGGAGUUGGACUCCUUAACAGAGAGGUGCUUUUUAUAAUACCAAGCAGCUACUGAUUUUCCUGUGUGCAUUCAAGGGAGCAUAAACCACCUGGCUGAGUUGAGUUGCGCCUAUGCAUCAAGCAUCAGAUGGCCCCAAGACACCAGCUUUGCUUACUAAUCAAAAGCGAUGUCGUCGAUGUACCAGGUUAAUGCACAGAUUGAUAAAGUUAUGCAGUUAUCGUGGGACUAGGGAAGUUUUAUAACCAUGCCAGGUUCUACACUUUUACAAUUCAUAGUGUUUACAGACCACUUUGGUUAUUUUUCUCCAAGGAUAAAUCAGUGCCUUUAAUCUUGUUAUCUAUCUAUACAUCACUGAGGUAUUUUGCCCUGUGCUUCUACCUGUUUACAAGAUUAAUGAAGUUCUUCCUUUGGAUCUCAAACCAGCAUAUGAUGUAAGAACCAAGUGGCAACUUCCGACUCCUGGGAACCUCACACACAGCUAGCUCUCGGACAUCCAAGCCAUCAACAUUUUAAGAAAACUAAUAGGAAUUUGGAACUAUGUUGCUGUCCCCAAACCAUAUGGUAGUGGAAAAUUUCCCUGAAGUUAGCCCUGGGCUUGGUGGCAGGGUUGACCACCGCACUUGGCCUUUCUUCAGAGGUCUUUUCUCUGCCUUUCUGCUUGAAGGGGCGGGGCUUGAUUAUCUCCCAUCCUCCACUGUCCCCUUGAAAGGAAAUCUUUCAAAUAACCCACUUCACAAUUUACCACGAGCAGUGAAUUUUUAAUAUGACUUGCAUAAUGGUGAUUGUAUAUUUCUGUUUCUCGAAAAACAGGAGAGACUUUAAAAUAUGAUAACCUUGGACAAGCAGUGUGAUUUUUUAAGAAGAAUAUGUUAUGUGUGGGACUUCCCUGGUGGUCCAGUGGUAAAGAAUCCGCUUUCCAGUGCAGGGGACAUGAGUUCAGUCCCUGGCCGGGGAACUAAAAUCCAGCAUGCCGAAGGGCAGCUAAGCCCACGUAUCACAACUACUGAGCCCACACGCUCUGGAGUCUGUGCGCCACAACUAGAGAGAGAAAACGUGCACGCCACAACUAGAGAGAAGCCUGUGCGCCAUAACGAAGAGCCCGGGCGCCAUCAUGAAAGAUCCUGCGUGCCGCGACUGAGACCCGAUGCAGCCCAAAUAAUAAUAAAUGAAAUACAUAUUAAAAAAGGAAUAUGUUAUACAUAAGCUGCAGUGAAAGAAUAUUUAGUUGUCUAAUACAUUUCAUCUGAAUAUUGUUCCAUUAUUUUUAUAUUUUGGUGGUUCUUCAUAUUUUUUCAUCUAAAAAAAAAGAUGUAUUUUAGGAGUAGGUGGCUCUGACAUCCAGUUCUAAUUUUCCAAAUAGACAUUUCUGAGAUGAUUUUUCUAAAAAGUCACAUUUUGGCUUUUGCACAAGCAAUGGAGUUACACUUCCCAGGAAUAAAACUUUUUUUCAAUAAAAUGUACACUCUAAUAUCCCUGAUAGGAUCAAUUUCAGAUUUCAAAGUAAUGAGGAAAUAAGUAUACUAAAUUAAUUUCAAGAAGCGUUACUUUUAGAGCUUCCUGCUGCUCUGGCGAUAGCAAAAGUGCAUACCUUUCUACAGUGGAGAACUCGUUAGAAUCCAUUUUUUAAGUGGCUUGAUAGGGAGUCUACAGUGACUGCAAGACCCAAGAAUUUGUUUCUUCAGCCUUUUAAUAAGAUUCUAGUAGAGAUGUGGCUUACUAUUCCUAGGCAACUUGUUCCUCACAAUCAUAGUGAAUAUUCUUUUGUGUUUCGUAGACCAGUGUGUUCUGCUAAGUUCAGAAUUUCAGAUAGAGCUGAAUAAAAGUUGUUGCGGUAUUUGGUGAUUCACUAGGGCUAUUCGUUUGUCCUUGUCCACACUGUCAAGAAGCAGUCAUAGCCUCUUCAAAUCAGGGUGCUGCUGCCCACACUCCAUGCAGUUGUUGCAGCCCCUCUGUGGCCUGGUGUCUGAGUUUAUUGCUGUCCUUCUCUUGGCAGAAGGUCCACCUGCUUUCAAAUCCCAUUAAACAAGUCAUAAGGAGAGCAAAAUGUUGUGACUGUAAACACAGCUUCUCUUUCAUAUCUAUCCAGGUAUUUCUGUUACACUUCAAGGAAUCUCUGUCAGUUGAAACUCAUACAGAUGGCAGACACGCAUAUGUCAUCAAGGAAAUGCAAAUUCAAACAAUAAUGAGAUCGCGCUACACAACGUUAACAUGGUGCGAAUCCAAAACACUGACAGCACGAAAUGUUGAUGAGGAAGUGGAGCAACAGGAACUCUCAUCCAUUGCUGGUGGGAAUGUAAAAGGGUGCAGCCAGUUCAGAAGACAGUUUGGUGGUUUCUUACAAAGCAACAUAUUCUCAUCAUACAGUCCAGCAAGUGUGCUCCUUGUGUCUAUCCUAAGGUAGACAUCCACACAGAAACCUGCACAUGGGUCUUAGUAGCAGCUGUAUUCAUAAUUGCCAAAACCCAGAUGCAACCAAGAUGUCCUUCAGUAGGUGAAUGGAUACGUAGACGGUGGUGUAUCCAGGCAGUGGAAUGUUAUUUAAUGCCAAAAAGAGAUGAGCUCUCAAACUAUGAAAAAACAUGGAAGAACCUUAAAUGCAUGUUACUCAGUGAAAGAAACCCAUCUGAAAAGGCUACAUGCUGUAUGAUUCCACCUAGAGGACAUUCUGGAAAAGGAAAAACUGUGGCUACAGUAAAAAGGUCACUGGUUGCCAAGGGUUGGGGCUGGGGAGGUGAAGCAGGAGGGAUGAGUAAACAGAGCACAGAGGAAAUUCAGGGCAGUGAAAAUACUCUUAAUGAUACUAUAAUGGUGGAUACUUGUCCAAACCCACAGAAUAUACAACACCAAGAGUGAACCCUAAUGUACUACGGAUUUGGGUGAUAAUGCCGUGUCAGUGUAGGUUCGUCGAUUGAAAUCAGUCACCUCUGGUUGAUAAUGGAGGAGACUAUACAUCUGCAGGGGCCGAAUGUACAUAUGAAAUCCCUGUACCUUCCUCUCAAAUUUAUUGUGAACCUAAAACUCUCAAAAAAAUAGUCAAUAAAAACAAAAACAAAACUAGUAGAGUAGUCACAGUUUGGUGUAGAAUGUCAGAUGAUUUUAAGAGGUUGGAGCCUUAAUGGAUUAUCUUUAAAUACAGUUUAAUCCUCUGGUUGUUGUAAAAUUAAAAAUACCC